GAGAGUAGAGGUACCUUUCUUGGCUGAUCCCUUUCGCUGUAUGGCAUGCUCGUUUGGGUUGGGCGUCGGCUAAGGGUGCUCGGAGUGUGGAUUAACUCCAGUCUCCUAUCAGUUUGAGUGACAGGUGGUGGUUAUCGUAGGCGAUUGACUUUGGAAACAUUUCAACUUCAACCCGUAACAGAUCUAUUUUCUACGCACGUUUGAGUUGGAUUCACAACGGAUAUGGGGUAGGAAGGUAUUUGGAACGUUCUUCAACGAGUAGAUAUCUUG